UACGUAGGGGGCAAGCGUUGUCCGGAAUCAUUGGGCGUAAAGCGCGUGUAGGCGGCUGUGCAAGUCGGAUGUGAAAUCCCGUGGCUCAACCACGGAAGUGCACCCGAAACUGCGCAGCUGGAGUCUCGGAGAGGAAGGUGGAAUGCUUGGUGUAGAGGUGAAAUUCGUAGAUAUCAAGCGGAACACCGGUGGCGAAGGCGGCCUUCUGGACGAUGACUGACGCUGAGACGCGAAAGCGUGGGGAGCAAACAGG
rnacentral:rRNA from 1 species